ACAAGAGGUGUAUUUGAUGCUAGACAAACAGCAUGUAAGACAAAUCUCUUUCUCCAAUAAGCUUUUCUUGAACACAGAUUAUGCAGAUGCCAACAGGCAAGGCAGGAUCAGGCACGAUGGAGGGAGCCGACCAUGUCGCGGAGGAGGAUCGUGUUGAAAGGAAAGACAAAAGAAAUGAUGAGUCAGCCAGCUGCAAGAAGCGGGAGCUCGAGCAACCAGAGACUGUGCUGGGAGUCUGGAAGGAGGAACAUUGGCAGCAGCCAACACAGUGAUGAAGGAGGAGGGACCCAAGGCCAGCUCGGCGCUUUAAAGGAGGAAGAACACAUCAGAGGCAUCUAAGACAGCUGGAAAUGACCUGCUUCAAGGCAGGAGUUGGAAUGCCAUCCUUCCCAUGGGAACACAGGAGACAUGAGCUGUGGCACCACACAGCCUGUCUAGAGGCCAGACUGCUUCUUUUAAGUUUUCUGCUUCCAUAAACCAAGUUGAGUGAACAUCGCCCAAGCACCCCAGUGGGCUGCUUCUUACAAGUCAUCCUCAUGAUGUUCUCCAGGCAUCUCUGCUCAACAGAAACUUAUCGUUCGGCCUAAAUAAGAUUAAAUAAGUUUGAAA
ensembl:lncRNA